CUGGGCCCUGGAGCCUCCUGCCAUUCGGGCCGCGGCGCGCCCCCGUUGUCAUGGAAAGCACAGCAAUGCAACUAACGUCAUUGCACAACAGUCCAGCUCAGAGAUUUCUAAAUUAAACCUUUUGCAUGGAAAAAAAAAUUGUGGAGGUUGGGGGUGGGGGGGUAAUAAUUGGAAACAAGUUAACACCUCAGUGCAAGAACCUUGUAGUCAUAUCUCUCACGAAAGUGACUGAUAGGUGCGUUGCAAAAAUAAAAACAAAGUGUUUUUAGAUCGAGAAACUCAUCGACCAAGUGUUGUACGAUCGGAAAAAAGGAAAGAAAACUCAUUUGCUAAUUGUUUUUGGGCAUAAAAUGCACUGUAAAAAGAUUAGCAGCACCAUGAAACAACAUCUGGAUUUGCAGCCCCCACACUCUGAGAAUAAAUGAAUUGGUGCCUGUGGGUGGCUUGUCCUCCUUUCGAUCUGUUUCAGUCUAUUCUCGUUUCCUUCGGGGGCUCAGGAUACAACAGAAAGAGGAUACCACAGAAAGAUACAUGCCGUUGUGGCACUAACCCGAUACUGAGAAAUCCUUUGAGCUGCACCAUCCCAGCUUUUUUCGACUGUGAAUCAGGUGUGUCUGGGAGAGGAGAUUUGGCCAAGACACUGAGCUACUUGCCCCUUUUUCCACUUGGUGUCCUCAGAUCUUCAAUAAUUUCCAGCACUGGCAUUUGUAUAUCACAGAAAAUGGUGGAGAAACUCUGGCAGCAUCUGUGGAGAGAAUAGAGUUAAUGUUAUAAUUUCUUCAGAACUUCCAAUAUAGGCAAGAAGAGACUAACUUAAUGAAAGACAGCACCCCCCAACAACGCAGCGCUCCUGGAGUUAUUCAGAGAGAAGAGCCUGUGACUUAUGCCAAUCAUUAAUUGUUUCACAUAUUUUUUGUGUGUGUGGUUUCCUGUUGUGCAAACUCUGAUUCACAAAUCGUUAAUGACUUUAAUUAUUGCAGAUGAAGAUCAAAUUUUACAUCUCAGAUGUUUCGUCCUCUAAUUGAAACUGUUUUCCAUCCUCUAUUUCAUUAUCUCCUUUUUCCGUGUCUGCCACCCACUUUCUUCACUACCUUUUCCUGCAUCUACAUGCAUUACUUUCUCAUGUAGUGUACAGGGAUUCUGCAGAUUGAUGAAUAUCACAGAGUGAAAUGAAGAUCCCAAACCUUCCCUUUCGGAAUUUUACCUUUGCUCCUUACAUUAUCUUGUCAACAAAAGUCAUUUGCUGUAUGGUGUGAUAAUGCUCUAUGUCUUUCAGAAAUGGGCCACCGUGAUUGCAGUGCUGAUGUGUUCCCAAUAAUAAUCCUUCUCCUUAUUCUCCACUAAGUGCAUUCCACGGUGCUGUUCCAGGAAUUCCAGAGAUUCUAUGAUCUUCUAUACAGAUGUCAUAGAGGCAGAGAGAUGUAUGGCACAGAAAUAGACCCUUCAGUCCAACUCGACCAUCCUAAAUAAAUCCAGUUCCAUUUGCCAGUAUUUG